CAGUAGCCACGGUAAUACGAAGGGUGCAAGCGUUAAUCGGAAUUACCGGGCGUAAAGCGUGCGUAGGCGGUGAGUUAAGUCUGCUGUGAAAUCCCCGGGCUCAACCUGGGAAUGGCAGUGGAUACUGGCUCGCUAGAGUGUGUCAGAGGAUGGUGGAAUUCCCGGUGCAGCGGUGAAAUGCGUAGAGAUCGGGAGGAACAUCAGUGGCGAAGGCGGCCAUCUGGGACAACACUGACGCUGAGGCACGAAAGCGUGGGGAGCAAACAGGAUUAGAUACCCCCGUAGUCCCUGUCUCUUAUAC
rnacentral:rRNA from 1 species